UACGGAGGGUGCGAGCGUUGUCCGGAAUCAUUGGGCGUAAAGGGCGCGUAGGUGGCCCGGUCAGUUCGUGGUGAAAGCGCGGGGCUCAACCCUGCGUCGGCCAUGAAUACUGCCGCGGCUGGAGCACUGUAGAGGCAGGCGGAAUUCCGGGUGUAGCGGUGAAAUGCGCAGAUAUCAGGAGGAACACCAAUUGCGAAGGCAGCUCGCUGGGACGUUACUGACGCUGAGACGCGAAAGCGUGGGGAGCAAACAGG
rnacentral:rRNA from 1 species